UAGCCUGCGGGCACUCAGGUCUCUGGGGGAGUCAAGGGUUUAACCCGCCGUCCUGCGACGCGGAGCACCGGCCGCCGCUCGCCGACGCAAGACAACGACGAUGCCCAGCUUCCCUCCGCCCGGCGCCGUCACCAUCUGCGAGAUCAACCGCGACCUAGUUGCGGCGGAUGCGGUGUCCGACGAUGGAGCCAAGGAUGCCUACGGGGAUGUCCUCGGAAAUGGUCUUCAGCCCGAUUCCUUUCCAGUCGGAUGCUCUUGUUGCCACCCACGAGCCUCCUGCUAUCACUGAAGCUGCUGAGCCUUCUGAGAUUGUCCCCAGAACAAGUUUAGCUUCCACCAUAGCUGAGUCCUUCAAACAAAUGCUCUUCCCUUCGUGCGAUGUGAGUUGGUUCUUUAUCAUAUCUUAGUGACUCAAUUAUUUGCCACUCUUACGAAUAAUAUGUCUUCAUUUGCAAACAGAAAAAUUAUUAAAGAAUAUUAAAGAAUCCUUCAAACAAAUAUUAAAGAAUCCUACAUUCUAACAAGUGACCGACAAAACGAUGUUAAAGCUGUUGAAUGGAGGCCAAAUAGUGAAAAGAUGAUUGCAGUUGGCUGCAAGUACUACUGCCAACUUAAGAUGUCUGCAUGUUCUUUUCAUGUAAUAAUAAUACCUGGUGGCAUAAUCUGCUGUUACAUUGGGUUGAUUUUUUUACUUUGAGGGGUGGUCAGCGUCAUCCUGGCAAUGUUGCAUCUGUGAAAUCUAGUGUCACCUUUUGGUCAAUGGAUGCUUGUGGUUGUGGACA